GGCAGCCUCCUUCUCUUCUCUUCUUCAUCCUCUUGCUCUUGGUGUUUGUGAACCAUUAGAGGAGUGACAUUUGUGACUCUAAGCUUUCUAAAGUCAAUACAAGAAGGAUUUGGGAUUGUUAUUGCUACAUAACAAUCAAGGUAUGAUCUAAACCCUAAUUUAUAUGUUAUCUUGAUUAUCAUAUGCUAGAUCUAGGGUUUAUAGUCUUGGAUAAAUUGCAUGUACAAUAGAGAAACCUAGAUCCAAGCAUUAGGGUUUGUAUGAGCACAUAGGAUGUUCUUAUGACCAAAACCCAUCAGUGGUAUCAGAGCCUUGAUUGGUUUCUAUUGUAUUGAUGCCUUGUAUGUUUGUUCAAGUUGAAAAAUUCGAUUUUUGUGAAACUGCCUGAUGAACUCGGCGAGUCCCAUUGUGGACUCGGCGAGUAGGCCCCUACUCGGCGAGUCCAUAUGGGUACUCGGCGAGUUCGAGCGUCAGAAAGAGGGGAUUUCGGGAUUUCUUGCUGUUUUUCUCAUGGAUACUUGCCUUAUCUGUUUUAGAUCAUUAAAAUCCGAUUUUAUUCAUAUUUUUUAGUAUAUCCUUGAUUAAACAAAAGAUAAUUACCAAUUGAUUAGAUAAUAACUUCCUUAUAUGAUUAAAGUUGAUUAUUUGUAUUAAUUGGGUAACUUAUUUUGCAAGAAAUUGAAAUUAGGUCAAAUAUAGAUAAUGAUGAAAUUAAUUGUUUAAUUUAUAUUAUUUGUUAUUUGAUCCUUGUGUUAUGAAAAGUUUCAAUUUUCCCCUUUAGGUUUUAUAGUUUAAAUUUGAACUCAAAAGUUUUGUUUUGAAAUUUAAAUAGUUGAAACCCUAAUGUUUUGAAAAGGUUUCAAAACUUGCCCUCAAGUUUUGGAAUUUAAAUUUUGAUUAAAAGUUUAAUUUUGAUGUAUAUUUAAAUUCUAAACCCUAAUGUUUUGAAAUGUUUCAAAACUUGCCCUCAAGUUUUGGAAUUUAAAAGUUGAUUAAAAGUUUAAUUUAGGAAUGUUAAAUUCUAAAACCCUAGUAUUGUUUUGAAAAGUUCAAAUCACACCCUUAUGGUUUUAUUAAUUAAUUAAGGUGUAUAAUUAAAAGAGGUUUAAUAAAUCCAUAAAAGUUUUGGUUUACAAUUUAAUUGAAUUAAAAGUAUAAUUGUUAAAUUUGACCACCUAGUAUUUUAAAAGUGUAAAAUACACCCUAUACUAUAUAUAACAUUAAAAGUCUAACAUUAUAUAUAUGUAUGAGUAAAAGUCAGUCUUACCGUUAGUAGGCCUCAUUCACGAAGCUGGUCUAUAAGGGGUGUUUAAGGAAAUUGCCUAUAAAAUGGCGAUUGAAUGGGUAUCCACUCUUACCCACCGCACUCUUGACUAGUGGAGGGUCGUUAGCCGAACGGGUAGGAUAGGACAAAACCUUCCAUUAUAAGUAUAAUGAAGUACAAAAGUAACUAAAUGUUUUACAAAUUCCCAAUCUUAGUUACUUAGGCAAAAGUGAAUUGAUGCAAUUCCAUGAAAUUACACUUUGUGCCCUUGCGAAGACGUUAGUGGAGCGUGUGUGGUUUACCGGCACACUAAAUGGUUCUAAGCAAAGGUAGCAAAGGGUGACUCAAUGUUUGUCAUAGUUCGGUGGAGCGUGUGUGGUUUACCGGCACAUCGAAUAGGUGACUGUAACAUGUGAGGGCACCAUGUAAGUUUGCAUGGUUAUUCACACCCGCUUUGUGAUCCUCGGCAUCCCAGUCACAAACAAGAGGGGCAUAUCGAGAUUUAAACAUGCCAUUGAAAGUUCAAUGAAUCUCAAAGGAUCUAGGAGUUUUCAUAGAUUUAAAACUUAAAUUUCUUUUUCGUUUUUCAUGGUGGAAAUUAGUGAAUCGUCAUUCACUUACCUUCAAAUAUUCUGCAAUUAGGGUUACGGCAUCCCUCUCCCGAGUUGUAGAAUAUUGUGUUGGGUCCUAGCCUUAGUAUCUCAUUUGGGUGAUUUACUAAGGACUCAAUCAAUCAACUAACUUGAAUUCGUUUUCUCCCGUUUUGUAGAUGUCAAAGUUCGACAACUAUGGUCUUCCCAAAUCCCGUGGAACAAGCAUUCCACAUGAAGAUGAUAUUCCACGAUUCGAUCGAGGAACAAGAAAUCAUGCUUCACUUCCUCCUCCUCCUCCAAUUAUUCUCCCUAACCCACAAGUUCAAAGGCUUGAAAAGUUCAAGCUCACUUAAGCCCUUUUGGCAUGUAAACAUGAAGAGGGAAAGUCGGUGUGUGCACACGUCUUAGGGAUGAAGUCACACAUUGAUAGGUUAAGAAUCUUGGGAUCCGUUGUCUGUGAGGAGAUGGCUGUUGAUUGGGUUCUUCAGUCACUUCCUAACUCAUAUAGUGAGUUCGUAAGAGAGUACUAUAUGAUGAACUGCGACGUGACCCUUAUAGAUCUCACCUAUAUGCUUAUUGCUGCUGAAUCAGCAAUGGUUUGGUGCAAUAGAAAAGCAAAGUUGAUUGGUGAAUCUGCCUUCAAGACUUUUAUGGAUAUAGACAAUGGCAACAAAAGACAUGCUAUGAUCGAAAAGUUUGAUCAUAAGAGAAAGGCAAUGUCUAAAGUAGUUCCAUGUCCUGUUCCAAAAGAGUCAAUUUGCUUUUAUUGCCAAGAGAAGGGGCAUUGGAGACGAAGCUGCCCUAUUUACCUAAGAGAUCUAAGAGAUGGGAGAGUCAAAACGUAUGGCUCUGCUUUAGGUAAAAUCCAUUGACUAACUCUUUUAAGCUCCUAUUCUAGAUUCUUAAUACAUAAUGUGAUAAGAUUACAAUUGAUUUUUUGUAGGAUCGAAGAAAAGAGACGAAGCUUAAGGGUAGAAGUAAGCAGAAUCUAACCGUGAAGAAAUGGAUUACGAUCGCAUUACUUGAAUAUUAGAUUUUUGAGCUACUACUUAGAGUUAGAAUUAGAUUUCUAAGAAAGAUGCAUUAGCAUAGUUUUUCAAAGAAUUGCAUUGUAAGGGCAAAUUUUUUCCACAAUAAAAUAAAUUUUGACUUUAUAUUAUUAUUUAUCCUUGCAAUGGCGUAUAUGAAAAAUUGAUGUUUGAAUGUUUCUAUUAUUAACAAUAAUGGAUUUGAUUCUUAAUUAUAUUAUUUGUGGAAAUGUCGAGAAUUUACCAAAUAGGGAGAGUUUCUCAUCGCCCAAGUUUCAAUUGGACAGAAACUUGGAAUCAUGCAACUUGGUUGCACGAUGAAUGAGAAAUUUCAUAUUUGGAAAUUAGACUAAUUCAUUGACAAAGUGUCAAGUGAAGGACUAGGAGAUCGAGUACACAAAGUUGCGUGUUGAUCAAGUCCACCAUAAGAGUAACAAAGAUAUUCGUCAUGAUUUACUAAAGGUUUAGUAAAUAUGAUUAUACUUAUAAGAUUAAGUGUAAUUCUGAAUUGAUUGAAAAGGUUUAAAUCAAUAGCAGAACGAAUAAGAAGAAUCAAGUAGGCAGAAAGAUAAAAGUUUCUCCAUUCUAAGAAGAAGGGAGAGUACCUUUUAUGCUUUAUGAUAAGUCUUAAUGAUUAAGAACCAUAUCUCAAUUGAUCCUCUAAGUGAGUCUUAGUAAAAUUUUAUGUCUAAGAAGAGGAAUCAAGAAUUGAAGAAAUGGUUAAAUCAAGAAGUCAAUCAUACUUCGUUCCAAAAAAACUCUUAAAGUUAAGACGGUGACAUUGAGUGAAAAGUAUUAAGAAGGUUUAUAGCAUUCAUCAAAUGUGGAAAGUUGUGAUGUCUUGGAUAAGACAAAGACCAACUAGGACCAAUUUAUGAAGUGUUUUGAUAAAAACUACACUAACUCUUGAAUAUUUGUUUGUCAAGAAAUGUUUAUUGACAAGAGAAUCUUAUAUGUCAAGGAGUCAGUGGGAGUCUUAAUGGUCUUGAAAGGUUUCAAGAACAAAUCAAAUAAACCUUAUCGAUCAUCACUAGCACACGAGUUGAGGUUUACAACCUAUCGUGUUGACAUUAUUUUGAUUCUGUGCCAAUCCAAUCGAGUUAAUUAUGCAUGUGAGUUCUAUGAGUUCUCAUUUUGAACGCAUAAAAGGCAAAGCACCUUAAUCAAUGAAAGGUACAUUGAUAGGAAAGGGUGAGCUGCUUAACUACUUGGAAGACAUGGUGGGCAGCUGUGCUACCAUAAGGCAAGAAAUCAAGAUUAAGAAAGUUCGGUCCAUAUGAGUUUGAAUUUGUCGUAAACUUUGGUUUUAACAAAUUCACAUGGAUAGGAACACAUACACCGUUUAAAUCUAAGUGUCAUAAGAUUUCCUCCUUCAUGAAAAUGAUUGUGAGGAAAUGCUUUCACUAAGAAAGAUUUUAAGAAGAUAGUGAUUGUAAAAUUGCAUUCUCGAAUUCGAUUAUGGUUACGGUAUCCCUUUCCAUAAUUUGAAUUGUGAGGUUUGGCAAUUAGUCUUAAUUGUUUAGACACACAUAUGAACUAUCUAAGGCAAAGGUGUAUAAGUUCAAGAAGCCUUGAUAAAAGAUUAUCAAAGCAUUAAGUAUUAGAAACAUGGACUUAAGAAAUUCAAUAGGUAUUGUUUUUCUGAAAGUUAAGAUGUUUAUGAAUACAUGUCGAAGCUAGUGGGAGCAUAAGUGUUAUGUUUUAUAAUAAUCAUCAUGAUAGUGGGAGCAUAAAUGUUAUGAUUGUAUGAUUAUUAAGGCACGUAUUGCAAGUUGGCAAUAUUAAUUAUAGAAAACAAGAGUUAUACCUUGCAAAGUCGUAAGGGUUGUAAAGUUGUUUUGCUAUAAUUAAGGGAGAGAAUAUUAUGCUUCAUUUCAAAUCUAAAGGAUUAGGUUGAGAAAUGUUAAUAAAUUUAGUCAAGGGUACAUAGUGUGUUCUUAAAAUUUCGAUUAUGAUUACGGCAUUCCUCUUCACAAUUCGAAUUUUGAGAACAUAGCAAAUAAAACAUUAUGCGUCGUGUCCCAUACGCUUCGGGUAUAGGAUCGAUUGCAAAUGCUUUAAUGUUUGACCAUUCUAAAAUUUUCCAAAUGUCUAGCGCAUUUAGAGGGAAAAGGGACUAGAAUCGGUUUUGACUAAAAUAAUUAAACAACUAUCAAAGGACAAUCCAAAGUUCGACGAGGAUUGGUCGCUUGUGAGUAGUUGGAAGCAUGGUAUUGGAUGGACCAUAUCGACAUUAUUAUGAAUAGAAAAGAUUCUAUUAAGAAUGAGUUGUCAUAUGGAAAUUAUGGAAAUGUUUCCAUAUUGGAUGGACCAUAUCGACAUUAUUAUGAAUAGAUAAGAUUCUAUUAAGAAUGAGUUGUCAUAUGGAAAAUAUGGAAACGUGUCCAUAUUGGGAAUUGAAUAUUGAAAAUCUAUGUCUAGAUUAGAAACUUUUAUGCAAAAGGAUGUUCAAAGGAAUGUACUUUGAGUGAGAGACAUCAUAUCUAAGGAAUUGUCUUGUAACAAUCUCCGAUAGAGGACUUUGUAAUAUCAUUGGCAAUAGUCUUUGUGACUUUGGUGCAGUGACAUUACGAAAGGAUCAUUGCAUAAAAUGUUAGAAUCUAGCAUAUUCUAUAAGUAGCAAGAAUUUGAUAUUCUUACACUUAUGAAAAAGGAUUUGGAGUUGUGAAAUGAGAAUGAUUGGAAAUGUGUUCAAUUUGAUCUAUUUCACAAAGUAAGAACCAUAGGUAAACAUUGUGUGCAUGCUAAGAGCAUGGGACAAGUGUAAUAAUUCAAGUAAGAAGUUGAUUACCCGAAACGACAAAUAAUGAGUAAUCGAUAUGGUGAUAAAUAAAAGGUGUUUUAUUUAUACUCAAAGGUUUGAGGCCAUAUGGGAUUAGUAUUAUUCUUGUGUUUCACAUUUGCAUGUUUUGACUUCCAGAAUAAUUGAGUUUAUUAAGAAUAAUCGAAUUAUUCGAACGGGCCACAGUCGUUCAUAUGUUGGAAGUAGAUAUGAAUGAAGACUGUCGUGAAUUGGUGUGUGGAUUGUCUAAAAGAGUAUUAGACAUAAGCAAAUGUUUGCUGCAACGUUCAUGAGUGCUUAUGAAUAUGAUUUGAGCAUUGGAUUAAACCCACGCUCACUUGGAUCACUCCAUGAAUUGUAUCACGAGUGAUUGGUGAGACGAUAACAUCUUAUAUUCUUGAAACCGAGAUGUGUGAGUUGUAUCUUGCAAAUCGGUUGCACAUUGAUAAUAUGUAAACGCACCAGUAACUUGGUGUCAUAAAACAUAUUGUUGUGUGUGAUUCGGUGAGUGAGUGCAAGCGAGCAUUGAAUCAAAGUUUAUCCGUUCCUUUUAUCCAAAGUAGGAUAAAAGCGAUAUCUUUGGGCCCCUCGAUGAUUUAGUGAUGACAAACGUAAAUGCUCGGCCGGGCUAGGGCUAAUUUGAUUUGUUCAAUUAGUCAGUCGUCAUAAAUCGGAAGUCGAGAAAUAGUACAGAGAGAAUGAUUAGAAAUCAUGUCUUAUACGAUAUCUAGAAUGGAGGAAUAUAUGAUCCCUUAUCUAAAGGACACGCGUAUCUGAUAAGAUCAGAGUUGACAGCGGCUUUGGAAAGCUACGAUUGCAGAUCAGGAUCUGAAGUCAUACGCAGAAUAGUUAUUAGACUUAUCCAAGUGGGAGACUGUUGGAUUAGUGUCUAAGUCCAUAACUAUUUUGGUAUGUACUUGACCCGAUGGUGCAUGGUCCUUUUGGGUUGCCUUCACCAAAGCAACUUGAUAGGAUGAAUUAUGGAGAGAAAGGAUUAAAUAUGAUUUAUUAAUAUAUUAUGGGAAUAAUAUAUUAAAGGAGAAAUCAUAUUGUUUAAUUAAUAUUAGUCAAGAAUUAAUAAGAAUUAAGUUUGUGAUUAAAAGAGAUUAAUUAAACUUAAGGGACUGGAAUUGUAAUUAUAAGAUAAUUGCAAUUGGGCUAUGGAUUGCCUUAUAUUUUAAGGUGGACGAAUUCUAUGGGGAAGCCCAUUAGAAAUCGUCCAAGGCCUUUAAGGAAAGGAGUCCAUGGGUUGCUUAGGGCUUAAGCAUCCAAAUUAGGGUUUCCUUGUUAGAUAACCCUAAUAGUCUCACUAUAUAUAGUGCCCUUAUGCCCAAAAAACGUGGACAAGCUUCCUUCUAGGGUUUCCACAUGUUUUGGGCAGCCUCCUUCUCUUCUCUUCUUCAUCCUCUUGCUCUUGGUGUUUGUGAACCAUUAGAGGAGUGACAUUUGUGACUCUAAGCUUUCUAAAGUCAAUACAAGAAGGAUUUGGGAUUCUUAUUGCUACAUAACAAUCAAGGUAUGACCUAAACCCUUAUUUAUAUGUUAUCUUGAUUAUCAUAUGCUAGAUCUAGGGUUUAUAGUCUUGGAUAAAUUGCAUGUACAAUAGAGAAACCUAGAUCCAAGCAUUAGGGUUU
rnacentral:lncRNA from 1 species